GCGGUAUGCUUAACACAUGCAAAGUCGAACGAAAGCUUUAUGCUUUAGUGGCGAACGGGUGCGUAAUACGUGAGAAUCUGCCCUUAGGAGGAGAAUAACUUCUGGAAACGGUUGCUAAGUCUCCAUAUGCCGAGAGGUAAAAUAGUUUACACUGCCUAGGGAUGAGCUCACGCCUGAUUAGCUUGUUGGUAAGGUAAUGGCUUACCAAGGCCACGAUCAGUAGCUGGUUUGAGAGAACGAUCAGCCACACUGGGACUGAGACACGGCCCAGACUCCUCCGGGAGGCAGCGGUGAGGAAAUUUCCGCGAUGGGCGAAAGCCUGACGGAGCAAUACCGCGUGAGGAUGAAGGAUUUUGGUCUGUAAACCUCUUUCUCGAGAAAGAAGUGCUGACGGUACUUGAGGAAUAAGCGUCGGCUAACUCCGUGCCAGCCGCCGCGGUAAUACA
rnacentral:rRNA from 1 species